UCGGAUGUGGUGUACGGUGCACAUCAGCUCCUCAUAAGUGUAUCAAGGGUUGCAAGCUGAAGAAUAGGGUUCGACUCCCUGCAUCUGAA